rnacentral:rRNA from 1 species
GACGAACGCUGGCGGCGUGCUUAACACAUGCAAGUCGAACGGUAAGGCUCCAGCUUGCUGGGGUACACGAGUGGCGAACGGGUGAGUAACACGUGGGUGACCUGCCCUGCACUUCGGGAUAAGCCUGGGAAACUGGGUCUAAUACCGGAUAGGACCGCACCGUGAGGGUGUGGUGGAAAGUUUUUUCGGUGUGGGAUGGGCCCGCGGCCUAUCAGCUUGUUGGUGGGGUAAUGGCCUACCAAGGCGGCGACGGGUAGCCGGCCUGAGAGGGUGGACGGCCACAUUGGGACUGAGACACGGCCCAGACUCCUACGGGAGGCAGCAGUGGGGAAUAUUGCACAAUGGGCCGAAGCCUGAUGCAGCGACGCCGCGUGGGGGAUGACGGCCUUCGGGUUGUAAACUCCUUUCACCAUCGACGAAGGGUUUCUGACGGUAGAUGGAGAAGAAGCACCGGCUAACUACGUG